rnacentral:pre_miRNA from 1 species
AGUGUGAUUGCUGGAUCACGUGGUAAGAGUAUAUUUAGCUUUGUGGGAAACUACCAAAUUGUCUUUUAAAGCAGCUGUAACAUUUUGCAUUCCCACCAGCAAU